rnacentral:tRNA from 1 species
CGGGGUGUAGCGCAGUUUGGUAGCGCACCGCGUUUGGGACGCGGGGGUCGGCGGUUCGAGUCCGCCCGCCCCGA